CCGGAGCACCCGGAGGAAACCCACGCGGACACGGGGAGAACAUGCAAACUCCGCACAGAAAGGCCCUCGCCAGCCACAGGGCUCGAACCCGGACCUUCUUGCUGUGAGGCGACAGCGCUAACCACUACACCACUGUGCCGCCCCAGGCACAAAGCUAUUCGAGUUAACCCAUACAGGCACAAAGAGAACAAACAAACCCCAUACAGAAAGGUUCCAGUCAGCCACAAGGUUCUGGGUUCACCAAACAACCAUGAUUCAAUAUGAUCAGUAUUCAUCACAAAGCGGCGGAACGGUGAUGUAGUGGUCAUCACUGUCGCCUCACAGCAAGAAGGUUCCGGGUUCGAGCCCAGCGGCCGACGAGGGCCUUUCUGUGUGGAGUUUGCCUGUGUCUGCGUGGGUUUCCUCCCACAGUCCAAAGAUAUGCAGGUUAGGUUAAUUGGUGGCUCUAAAUUGACCGUGAGUGUGAAUGGUUGUUUGUGUCUCUGUGUGUGUCAGCCCUGCGAUGAGCUGGCGACUUGUUCAGGGUGAACCCCGCCUCUCGCCGAUGGUCAGCUGGGAUAGGCUCCAGCUUGCCCCCCGCAUGGGAUAAGCAGUUACAGAUAAUACAAACAAACAUCACAGAGCACAUUUUCAGGAAUUGCUAUAAAGCAAGGGGGGAAAAAAACAGGAAAUGUAUGUUUUUAGAGUCUAAAGAACGCAAGUCUAAAAGGGUUUAAGGGGUUAAACCAGAGUGAUAUGAUCUCACACACAUAUAUAGACUACAUACUAUCACACAAGCAUUCCUGUACAGGCAGUGACACUAAAAGUGGAAUUUCAAAUCUAGACAUUACAACUGGAGCUAAAAAACAACAACAGGCAUAUACAAUCAUACCUAGAGGAUAUUACACGGUUGUGUAAAGAUAUGAAGUUUAUCUUUGAGUGGUGAAUAUAUUCACGAGUGAGCGAAGCAAAUGAGUGAAAAUAUUUUCAACACAAAAGAUAAACUUCAUAUCUUUGCACCACCGUGUAAUGUUCUGUAUAUUAUACGGACACAUCCACACACAAAAAAAUGCAAGUUAAUAAAAAUUAUUUUAAUUUUGAACCGGUUCGCCAUUUUGAAAACGUGUCCAGUCAGCAGGAAAACACUGGGAGUGACAUCAUCAGAGCGAAAUAUCAGGGAUUAUUCUUUCCACAUUCACUAGAUAUGAGCAAUCGUGUGCUCUGAUUGGCUAUUCUACUACUAGGCUAUCAGCUCAUAUACCAUGAGUAGAGAAAAACAAACUGGCAGAGCGUGUUGUUGAACCAACCGAGGACGAAAUAAAAACUCGACUCGAAAACAAAAUCCCCCAAAAAACAAAGAGCAACAAAAUAUGGAAUAAAAGUAUUUGAUGGUAAGAAUGUAUUUUUUAAAACAUUUUUCAAGAAUUAUUAUUAUCGCAUUUUUUCACAAAUUGCUCUGGCUUGUUUACAUUCUAAGCGGAAAUUGUUUUGUUAGACAUUUUUGUAUAAAGUUUGAAUUUAUCGAAUGUACAAAAAAUACAAAUAAAAUUGCUCCGUUUCUCAAAAUCCAGUGAAUGUGGAUAGAAUAAAACAGUUAUUCCAUUUUGUCGUACAUGGUUUAUAACCAAUUCAUCUAAUGAGGCACAUAGCACUAUCAGCUCAUGUACAACUCGAAUUCAUGGAAUAACUGUUAAUUAUUAUACAUACAGGACACUUUUUCAGUGGAAUCAAAACGUGUUCUAUUCUCUUCUAACAGGUUUCAUUCAUUUGCUUUGAUAGCAUGCAAUAUUGUUAGCAUAUUGCUUAUCCUACGUGUAUUACAUCACUCUACCCAAUGGAGAAUGAGUGUUGAAUACGGUUUACGAUAUUGCAUGGUUGUCAAAACAACAUGAUGUCGUAUGUCGGAAACGUAAAACUUCUGCGCUAGCGAGCGACUGGGAUAAUUUUUAAACAAACAUGGCCGCCAGGUUUGCUUCGUUAAAUGCAGAAGAUUUUGAGAGAAUUUUGAAAGAGAAAGAUGCGUCGAACACCCGAAAGGAAUGUGUAUGUAUGUAUAAUAAUAAUAAUAAUAAUAAUAUUGGCUGGCUUUUUUUGUGGUAUAUCAGAUGUAUUCCAUUCAGCUAGCAUGAUAUUGAACGACUCAAAGAUGAUAUACCACUCAACACCAGCCAAUAUUAUUUAAAUAUGUCACUCAGAUCCAUGAGUUGUUCAACACAAGAAGAUAAACUUCAUAUCUUCAAGCCAACAUAUGAUUUUCUUUUAAUUAUAUCGACACAAACAACAAGUACCCACAUUUAUCAAAACAAUUCAUCGAUUUCCUCAUGAUUGACAUAUAGAGAUUUAUGACACCGUUUUGGUUCUCCAUGUCCCGGAUGGAGCUCGUAUGAAAAAUGCCAGUGGCAUAUUUCCCAGUAAAACAUUCGUGUCCAUAUAAUAUACUAAUUCUAGCAUAUAAAUAAACUGCUACCUGACAGACUGAUAACUAGCCGGAUAUACUGUAUAAUGCACCAUAGAUUUUUUUUUUUCUUUUGGGGAAAGAAACAAUCAGAAAUGUGUAGUUUGAUUCACUUAAACGGAUUCGUUUGAAAGAACCGAUUCAGUCUUGAGGCCCAUCGCUACUGAACAGCUGCUGCUCAGGGAAAAUGUAACGAUUGCUGAUGCUGAUUCCCUAAAGAGGUGCACUACUCAGGGUAAUGAGACACAUUUUGAGGACCAGAUGAGUUUCUUAUGGCACUGUAGGAACCGUGAUCGUGAUGUAAAAUACCAAGCGAACAACAAACACCAACUGCGGUGUUUCGAUGAAAGUUUGAAUAUCGCUUUGCGUUGGCGUCGCUUUUUAAAUGGAACGUGUUCCAGGAAUGUUUUCAUUUACACCAAACCACCUCCGUUAUUGAAGCUUUUAAACUGAUUAAAAGUUGUAUAAGGUAAACACAGGCAAGAGAGUCGAUCAUGCUGUAAAUAUCUUGUCAAACAUUUGAACAACCUACAAUCUUCAUCAUCAUCCCAUAUAAUCCCCUUAAAAGUGGGCUCGGGUUUCUAUAUAGCCACCAUCCAUUUUUGUCCAUCAUUCACCCAGGUCAGGUCAAUCUCCUGAGCAUCCUCUUUGAUGAGAUCCCCCAUCUUUACCUCCGCCAAGGAGGUUAUGUUUUCGGUAGCAUUGGUUUGUUUGUUGGUUUGUCUGUUAGCAAGAUUACGGAAAAAGUUAUGAACAGAUUGCUCUGACAUUUUUUUCUAGAGGUGUGACUGGGCACAAGUAACAAUCCAUUAAAUUUUGGCGGUGAUCCGGAUCACCUCCUGGAUCCCGGAUUUUUUUAAAGGAUUCUUGGCGGAGGUCUGCGCUCUCCGAGUGCUUUUCUAGUUUCAUUGAGGGUCCUCUGGGUCUCCUCUCUAUCUCCGUUCUUUCCGCUACCCACCUAAUUAUCUCUGAUGGCUCUCUCCUCUUUAUGCAUCCAUACCACCUAACUCUGCUCUCUUGUAUCUUCUCGCUCACCUGCCUAACUUUUUUUUUCUCUGAUGGUCUCAUUUCUUAGUUUAUCUUUCCUAUUAAUCCCCUCCAUCACCCUGAGGCACCUCAUCUCCACCACCUCUAGCCUGUCGAGUUUGGUUCUUCUUCUUCACUUGCCAUACUUCGGCUCCAGAGAGUAGGAUUGGUCCCCCUACUAUUUUGGACACUCUGAAAUGUUUUUAGUAAAAAAAAAAAGAAAAAGGUUCCUGGAACUUAAAUUGGACCUGGUUCCUGUGAUGGAAACAUUUCAAAAUUUCCACCGUGGACUGACCAGGUUCUGGAUGAGCUCCUGUUUUACUUUAUGACGUUGCCGGUGCCGUGAAAUAACAAGCGAAUGUUUAAACGAAUGUUUAGUAGUGCUGAAAUGUUUCCAUUUACAUCAAACUACCUUGGAUUUAAUCCCUUGGAGUGAGACAGGGUUGAAGGGAAAAAACCCCAAAACAAAACAGUCGGUCAGUCUGUAAUCCUUGCAGCUGACUAACCUGAGAUGUUUAAUAGUAGAGCAAAGUUCCUGGAACUUUGAUCCAGGAAGUAUAAAGGUAACAUGGUUCGUCUGUUGUAAAGAUAAUAGUUGCUGGAAAAAAAACCAAACAUUCACGUUCCUGAAAAGUUCCUGCAUUGAAAUGGGUCAUUUCUACACCCUUUGUAGUGCACAUUACGUCCAAUAGGGAGCCAUUUGGGACUCUAAAGCUUAAACAACGUGUUAUCUGAUCACGUGUGAAAUACACGUGUGUGUGUGUGUACUGUUAAACUGAUAAUAUAGCUCACCUCUCAGUGAAGCCACAGUUACUGAUGUACUACUUACCAAAUAGUUACUAAUGAACUAAUGAGCAUAAGAUCAUGUCCAGUGUUCUUAGACCUGAUGUAUUACUCUGUUUCCUGUGCGUAUAUCUGCAAAGAGAAAGAGAGACACGGUGAAGACUGCUAAUCUCUGCGCCACUCAAUUCGGCUUAUUUAUUGUAGAAAAAAACCCAAAACCAAACGACUGCACGGUUCUGCAGAGAGACGUCCUAAUGAAGUGUGUGUCAUGUCAUUUUUGUCAUGUUGUGGAAUUAAAAUGACGUUCAAAGCAAAA